GACGAACGCUGGCGGCGUGCCUAAUACAUGCAAGUCGACCUUAGUGGCGAACGGGUGAGUAACACGUGGGUAACCUGCCCAUCAGAAGGGGAUAACAAUUGGAAACAGGUGCUAAUACCGUAUACUGAUGGAUGGACCCGCGGUGCAUUAGCUAGUUGGUGAGGUAACGGCUCACCAAGGCCACGAUGCAUAGACGACCGUGGAGGUGGAUCUGCCCCAUUGGGACGGGGACACGGCCCAGGUUCCUACGGGAGGCAGCAGUAGGGAAUCUUCGGCAAUGGACGAAAGUCUGACCGAGCAACUCCGCGUGAGGUAAGAAGGUUUCCGGAUCGUAAAACUCUUUGGUUAGAGAAGCGGUAUCUAACCAGAAAGCCACGGCUAACUACGUGCCAGCAGCCGCGGUAAUUC
rnacentral:rRNA from 1 species